rfam:Gossypium raimondii Chr05_contig_1353, whole genome shotgun sequence.
UAUUAAAAAUUUCAUUCAUUUGUACUGUUAAAAACUAGCGUGACUACUAGAAUAACCAGACAGUGACACAUGAUGUGACACAUGUACCUCAUAUUAGUAUACAAGAACCAAUUUUUAACAGUAAAAACUGAUAGAAUUUUUAGUA